rnacentral:lncRNA from 1 species
CUGCAUAACGCGUAAACAUACGUGAUAAAAUGAUCAAUGAGAUAUUUUUUUCUUGGAUUUUUUUGUUUUCUGAUUUUUAGUCAUUUGACUUUUUAGAAGGAACUAGAGGGGGCUUACAUCCUACUGAAAUUUAUUUAAAGGGUAAACACAAUACAAAACAGCAGAAAAAAUGAAGAACAAGGAAGGAGGUUCAGUAGACCCAGAAAGAGAUAAAAAAAGAUAAGGUCAAUUAUAAUCUUUGCACUAGCCAUG